rnacentral:misc_RNA from 1 species
AGCUAGGCUCUUUACGGAGCAGUGAUUCCGGAGCUGAAUUGGGAGUGGAUCCGCAUCAAUGAAGCAGUGUGGCUCCGUCAACAACAAAAUGGGAUAUUCCAGACGAAACAAAGAUGAAAGUUGCAGCUGAGCUGAAUUUAUCUGAAACUGCCUACCUACAGACUCUUGUACCUGGAGACACGUUCCAGACGGCAAGUCGCAUGAGGAUCCGUUGGUUCACACCCACCAAUGAAGUGAACCUGUGUGGCCAUGCUACAGUGGCCUCAGCUGCUGCGCUCUUCUACGUCGUGGGCAAUCGGAAUGACGUCAUUCGAUUUGAAAGUCUGAGCGGCGAGGUGAUAGCGAAGAGAGAAGGGGAUUUCAUCGGGCUGGACUUCCCUCUCAACCCACCAGCACCAGAGGAGAGGGCCCCUUUGGCAGAACUUAUUCAGGCUUGCCUUGGUACUAUCGUUCCUGCCGAUGUUCGGUUUACUAUGAUGGCAAACCAGGAACUACUGCUCCGCUUGCCUGACUCUGAAAAUAGGGCAACCCUGGAGAGUCUGAAACCAGACAUCGGGGCCAUGAUGGCUGCCCCCAACGCUGACAACCGCGUCAAAGGCGUCGUCGUCACCCUGAAGGGUAACCCUGACAACGGAGCCGUGGAUGCAGACGGCAAGCAGUAUGACUUCAUCUCCAGGUAUUUCGCCCCAUGGAACGGUAUACCCGAGGAUCCAGUAACCGGUUCUGCACACACUGUCCUGGCAGGCUAUUGGUCAGAGCAGCUUGGAAAGAAGGAACUAUACGCUCGUCAGUGUUCUGCAAGAGGGGGGGAUAUUCAAAUGAAAGUGCGGGAUGAUGGGCGUGUCGAACUACUCGGCAAAGCAACUGUUGUUCUGCAGGGAGAAAUUACUAUCUAGAAAAUCCCCUCAGGAAUUUUUUUUUUCUGAAAUCUUGAAAAGAUGUUUUCUGUAUUCAGAUUUUCUUUUACUUCUUUUCUUAUAUCCUUUCUUCUUUUUUUUCUUUAGCUUUUGAUUGUAUGCAUUGCAUGCAUUACAUUUGGCAAAUAUUGUAUUCUCUCUUCUAAACCUUGAAACCGUUUGGAAUUUGUUUUUAUUUAGAGGUCUCUGAUGAGGAUUUUGUUGAUCAUGAUCAUUGCAAGUUCCGAAUUUGGUUUUAUUCAUAUUGGGGGAUACUUGGGGGAGUUUCUUUCCCUAAUUCAGCAUUUGAAGUUUUUUUGUUGGAUUUUUUUGCUGAAAUGUAUGUUACAUGUACGACUCUUCCAGUACCUGUCUGAAAAAUUUAUAUGUAUCAGCUGAUUAGAGUUUUCAUGUUUUAGGGUUCGGAUAUCACGCACAACGUUGAACAAUUAAUUAAAUAUUAGGAGAGACACAAAUUUUAUUGUCAAAUUGUGUACACGACUGCCUGCUAAGGUAAUGUUAUCAAAUUGCCACCCAUUUUUGCACUGAAUAUUUUAAUUUGCUCAGGAAGCAAAAGUGCACUUGAAAUGUGCCAUUAAAUUUUUUAAUAUACACUUUUCUGGUUUUUCUGUGGAUUAAACUACAUUCUGGUGUGGACAUAUGAAAUGAAGUAACAAACCAGAAUCUCUGAAAUAAAAUAAACACUUUUAUUUCUCUUA